UACGGGGGGGGCAAGCGUUGUUCGGAAUUACUGGGCGUAAAGGGCUCGUAGGUGGCCAACUAAGUCAGACGUGAAAUCCCUCAGCUUAACUGGGGAACUGCGUCUGAUACUGGAUGGCUUGAGUUUGGGAGAGGGACGCGGAAUUCCAGGUGUAGCGGUGAAAUGCGUAGAUAUCUGGAGGAACACCGGUGGCGAAGGCGGCGUCCUGGACCAACACUGACACUGAUGAGCGAAAGCCGGGGGAGCAAACGGG
rnacentral:rRNA from 1 species